GUGGCAACAGUGCGAUCAUAGGCGAGAAGAAAGACGAAUUACUGGGAUGGUAUGUAGCAAUCUUGGUCGUGAAUGCUCUUGCACUCGUUUUCCAAGUCAUUUUUUACUCCUCAAAAUGUCAUCCACUUAUGGUUACAGACAGGAAAUGGGAAAAAUUACAAGAUCGAGCAGGCGUUGGACGCUUGGGAAUACUAACAUGUCACGGAACAAAUACAAAAACGAAC